rnacentral:rRNA from 1 species
GAUGAACGCUGGCGGCGUGCCUAAUACAUGCAAGUCGAACGCGAGCAGUACUGCUCGAGUGGCGAACGGGAGAGUAAUACAUUAGUAACCUGCCCUAGACUGGGGGAUAACUGCUGCAAACGGCAGCUAAGACCGCAUAGGUAUGGACACUGCAUGGUGACCAUAUUAAAAGUGCCAAGGCACUGGUAGAGGAUGGACUUAUGGCGCAUUAGCUGGUUGGUGAGGUAACGGCUCACCAAGGCGACGAUGCGUAGCCGACCUGAGAGGGUGACCGGCCACACUGGGACUGAGACACGGCCCAGACUCCUACGGGAGGCAGCAGUAGGGAAUUUUCGGCAAUGGGGGGAACCCUGACCGAGCAACGCCGCGUGAAGGAAGAAGGAAUUCGUUCUGUAAACUUCUGUUAUAAAGGAAGAACGGCGGAUAUAGGGAAUGAUAUCCGAGUGACGGUACUUUAUGAGAAAGCCACGGCUAACUACGUGCCAGCAGCCGCGGUAAUACGUAGGUGGCGAGCGUUAUCCGGAAUUAUUGGGCGUAAAGAGGGAGCAGGCGGCGGCAGAGGUCUGUGGUGAAAGACUGAAGCUUAACUUCAGUAAGCCAUAGAAACCGGGCUGCUAGAGUGCAGGAGAGGAUCGUGGAAUUCCAUGUGUAGCGGUGAAAUGCGUAGAUAUAUGGAGGAACACCAGUGGCGAAGGCGACGGUCUGGCCUGUAACUGACGCUCAUUCCCGAAAGCGUGGGGAGCAAAUAGGAUUAGAUACCCUAGUAGUCCACGCCGUAAACCACUAGGAGCUAAGUGUUGGGAGUUAAAUUUCAUUGCUGCAGAUAACGCAAUAAGUACUCCGCCCGAGUAGUACGUUCGCAAGAAUGAAACUCAAAGGAAGUGACGGGGGCCCGCACAAGCGGUGGAGCAUGUGGUUUAAUUAGAAGCAACGCGAAGAACCUUACCAGGUCUUGACAUCCGGAUAAAGACCUCAGAGAUGAGGGGAUAGAUAUAUCCGAGACAGGUGGUGCAUGGUUGUCGUCAGCUCGUGUCGUGAGAUGUUGGGUUAAGUCCCGCAACGAGCGCAACCCUUGUCGUUAGUUACCAUCAUUAAGUUGGGGACUCUAGCGAGAUUGCCAGUGACAAGCUGGAGGAAGGCGGGGAGGACGUCAAAUCAUCAUGCCCCUUAUGACCUGGGGUACACACGUGCUACAAUGGAUGGAGCAGAGGGAAGCGAAGCCGCGAGGUGAAGCAAAACCCAUAAAACCAUUCUCACUUCGGAUUGUAGUCUGCAACUCGACUACAAGAAGUUGGAAUCGCUAGUAAUCGCGAAUCAGCAUGUCGCG